CUCAACUCUGACCAGUUUCCCAGUCCUGGCUGCUGAAAAACAUCACCACAGCGUGAUGCUGCCACCACCAUGUUUCACUGUGGGGAUGGUGUUCUUUAUGUGAUGUGUUGUGUUUGCGCCAGACAUAGCGUUUUCUUUGAUGGCCAAAAUGUUCAAUUUUAGUCUCAUCAGAACAGAACGCCUUCCUCCAUACAUUUUGGGAGUCUCCCACAUGCCUUUUCGCAAACUCAAAACGUGCCAUUUUG